rnacentral:RNase_P_RNA from 1 species
AGGUAUAAGAGAUAGUGACUUGAAGUAAUUUCAAGAGGAAAGUCCGAGCUGCUGUAAGACAAUGUUCCAUUUAACUAAUGGCCGUAGUAAUACGAGGGAAAGUGCAACAGAGAAUAGACUUCCACUGUUUUUUCGUAAUAGAAACAAAUAGUGGUAAAGGUGAAAAGGUGGUGUAAGAGACUACCAGUCUUUAUAGCGAUAUAAAGAGCUUGUAAACCCAACAUGGCAGCAAGAAACAAACGGUUAGCGUCUUACAAUGCUAUUGUUUCGCUAGAGGUACAGCGUAAGCUGUGCAGUAGAUUAAUGCUAUCAUACAAAACUCGGCUUAUCUUAUACCUGCAU